UGAGGGGUAGUUCAGUGGUCAGACUUUGGGUUUGCUCCCCAAUGGUCUCCAGUUCGAGUCCCCUUAG
rnacentral:tRNA from 1 species